rnacentral:rRNA from 1 species
AGCGCAGGCGGCCAGGCAAGUCUGAAGUGCAAGCCCGGGGCUCAACCCCGGAAUCGCUUUGGAUACUGCCAGGCUUGAGUAUGUCAGAGGUGAGCGGAAUUCCAGGUGUAGCGGUGAAAUGCGUAGAUAUCUGGAGGAACAUCCGUGGCGAAGGCGGCUCACUGGGACAAAACUGACGCUGAGGCUCGAAAGCGUGGGGAGCGAACGGGAUUAGAUACCCCGGUAGUCCACGCUGUAAACGUUGUGCACUAGGUGUGGGAGGUGUCUACCCCUUCCGUGCCGCAGCUAACGCGUUAAGUGCACCGCCUGGGGAGUACGGUCGCAAGACUGAA